AGAACGAACGCUGGCGGCAUGCCUAACACAUGCAAGUCGAACGAGACCUUCGGGUCUAGUGGCGCACGGGUGCGUAACGCGUGGGAACCUGCCCUUAGGUUCGGAAUAACAGUUAGAAAUGACUGCUAAUACCGGAUAAUGUCUUCGGACCAAAGAUUUAUCGCCUAUGGAUGGGCCCGCGUUGGAUUAGCUAGUUGGUGGGGUAAAGGCCUACCAAGGCGACGAUCCAUAGCUGGUCUGAGAGGAUGAUCAGCCACACUGGGACUGAGACACGGCCCAGACUCCUACGGGAGGCAGCAGUGGGGAAUAUUGGACAAUGGGCGAAAGCCUGAUCCAGCAAUGCCGCGUGAGUGAUGAAGGCCUUAGGUUGUAAAGCUCUUUACGUGGGUAUGAUAGUGACAGUACCCAGAGAAUAAGCUCCGGCUAACUCCGUGCCAGCAGCCGC
rnacentral:rRNA from 1 species